rnacentral:rRNA from 1 species
UACGGAAGGCAGCAGUGGGGAAUAUUGCACAAUGGGCGAAAGCCUGAUGCAGCUAUGCCGCGUGUAUGAAGAAGGCCUUAGGGUUGUAAAGUACUUUCAUCGGGGAGGAAAAAACAAAACUAAUAAUUUUAUUUCUUGACGUUACCCGAAAAAGAAGCACCGGCUAACUCCGUGCCAGCAGCCGCGGUAAUACGGAGGGUGCUAGCGUUAAUCAGAAUUACUGGGCGUAAAGAGCACGUAGGUGGUUUUUUUAAGUCAGAUGUGAAAUCCCUGGGCUUAACCUAGGAACUGCAUUUUGAAACUGAAAUACUAGAGUAUCGUAGAGGGAGGUAGAAUUCUAGGUGUAGCGGUGAAAUGCGUAGAUAUCUGGAGGAAUACCUGUGGCGAAAGCGGCCUCCUAAACGAAUACUGACACUGAGGUGCGAAAGCGUGGGGAGCAAACGAGGGAUUAGGAUACCCGU